GACGAAGGGGGCUAGCGUUGUUCGGAAUUACUGGGCGUAAAGCGCGUGUAGGCGGUUGUUCAAGUCAGGUGUGAAAGCCUUGAGCUCAACUCAAGAAAUGCACUUGAUACUGGAUGACUAGAGGACCGGAGAGGAUAGUGGAAUUCCCAGUGUAGUGGUGAAAUACGUAGAGAUUGGGAAGAACACCAGUGGCGAAGGCGGCUAUCUGGACGGUUUCUGACGCUAAGACGCGAAAGCGUGGGGAGCAACAG
rnacentral:rRNA from 1 species